UACGAAGGGGGGCUAGCGUUGCUCGGAAUCACUGGGCGUAAAGCGCACGUAGGCGGAUCUUUAAGUCAGGGGUGAAAUCCUGGAGCUCAACUCCAGAACUGCCUUUGAUACUGGAGAUCUCGAGUCCGGAAGAGGUGAGUGGAACUCCGAGUGUAGAGGUGAAAUUCGUAGAUAUUCGGAAGAACACCAGUGGCGAAGGCGGCUCACUGGCCCGGUACUGACGCUGAGGUGCGAAAGCUAGGGGAGCAAACGGGG
rnacentral:rRNA from 1 species